AGCGAACGCUGGCGGCAGGCCUAACACAUGCAAGUCGAACGAAGUCUUCGGACUUAGUGGCGGACGGGUGAGUAACACGUGGGAACGUGCCUUUAGGUUCGGAAUAACUCAGGGAAACUUGUGCUAAUACCGAAUGUGCCCUUCGGGGGAAAGAUUUAUCGCCUUUAGAGCGGCCCGCGUCUGAUUAGCUAGUUGGUGUGGUAAUGGCCCACCAAGGCUACGAUCAGUAGCUGGUCUGAGAGGAUGACCAGCCACAUUGGGACUGAGACACGGCCCAAACUCCUACGGGAGGCAGCAGUGGGGAAUCUUGCGCAAUGGGCGAAAGCCUGACGCAGCCAUGCCGCGUGGAUGAUGAAGGUCUUAGGAUUGUAAAAUCCUUUCACCGGUGAAGAUAAUGACUGUAGCCGGAGAAGAAGCCCCGGCUAACUCCGUGCCAGCAGCCGCGGUAAAAC
rnacentral:rRNA from 1 species